rnacentral:rRNA from 1 species
AUUGAACGCUGGCGGCAGGCCUAACACAUGCAAGUCGAACGAGUGGCGGACGGGUGAGUGAUGUCUGGGAAACUGUCUGAUGGAGGGGGAUAACUGCUGGAAACGGUAGCUAAUACCGCAUACCACAAGAUGAGCCCAGAUGGGAUUAGCUAUUAGGUGGGGGAAAGGCUCACCUAGGCGACGCUCCCUAGCUGGUCUGAGAGGAUGACCAGCAACACUGGAACUGAGAUACGGUCCGACCUCCUACGGGAGGCAGCGGUGGGGAAUAGUGGACAAUGGGCGAAAGCCUGCUGCAGCCAUGCGGCGUGUAUGAAGAAGGCUUGCGGGUUGUAAGGUACUUUCAUCGGGGAGGCGUUACCCGCAGAAGAAGCACCGGCUAACUCCGUGCCAGCAGACGCGGUAAUAC